GGCAUGGCGGCAGCUUACCAUGCAGUCGAGCGGUAGCACAGGGGAGCUUGCUCCCUGGGUGACGAGCGGCGGACGGGUGAGUAAUGUCUGGGAAACUGCCUGAUGGAGGGGGAUAACUACUGGAAACGGUAGCUAAUACCGCAUAACGUCGCAAGACCAAAGAGGGGGACCUUCGGGCCUCUUGCCAUCAGAUGUGCCCAGAUGGGAUUAGCUAGUAGGUGGGGUAAUGGCUCACCUAGGCGACGAUCCCUAGCUGGUCUGAGAGGAUGACCAGCCACACUGGAACUGAGACACGGUCCAGACUCCUACGGGAGGCAGCAGUGGGGAAUAUUGCACAAUGGGCGCAAGCCUGAUGCAGCCAUGCCGCGUGUGUGAAGAAGGCCUUCGGGUUGUAAAGCACUUUCAGCGAGGAGGAAGGUGGUGAGCUUAAUACGUUCAUCAAUUGACGUUACUCGCAGAAGAAGCACCGGCUAACUCCGUGCCAGCAGCCGCGGUAAUACGGAGGGUGCAAGCGUUAAUCGGAAUUACUGGGCGUAAAGCGCACGCAGGCGGUUUGUUAAGUCAGAUGUGAAAUCCCCGGGCUCAACCUGGGAACUGCAUUUGAAACUGGCAAGCUAGAGUCUCGUAGAGGGGGGUAGAAUUCCAGGUGUAGCGGUGAAAUGCGUAGAGAUCUGGAGGAAUACCGGUGGCGAAGGCGGCCCCCUGGACGAAGACUGACGCUCAGGUGCGAAAGCGUGGGGAGCAAACAGGAUUAGAUACUCUGGUAGUCCACGCUGUAAACGAUGUCGAUUUGGAGGUUGUGCCCUUGAGGCGUGGCUUCCGGAGCUAACGCGUUAAAUCGACCGCCUGGGGAGUACGGCCGCAAGGUUAAAACUCAAAUGAAUUGACGGGGGCCCGCACAAGCGGUGGGAGCAUGUGGGUUUAAUUCGAUGCAACGCGAGAACCUUUACCUACUCUUGACAUCCAGAGAACUUUCCAGAGAUGGAUUGGUGCCUUCGGGAACUCUGAGACAGGUGCUGCAUGGCUGUCGUCAGCUCGUGUGUGAAUGUGGAUAGUCCCGCACCGAGCGCACCCUAUCAUUGUUGCCAGCGUCGGCCGGGACUCAAGGAACUGCCAGUGAUACCUGGAGAAGUGGAUGACUCAGUCAUCAUGUCUACCGAGUAGGGC
rnacentral:rRNA from 1 species